AUUGCUUCCCUCUUAAUAGAACUGCCGUAAACGUUAUUGAUUUCAUUUAGGACAUACAUGUAUUAGCGCUAAAAGACGUGAGACGUUCUGGCGUGUAAUAGUGGACACGUUUUGGGGAAAACAAUUAUUGGACACGUUUGGGGGUUCUGAAAUCGGACACGUUUGGGGAUUAUUGAAUAUUACAGACACGUUUGGGGAAAUCGGACACGUUUGGGG
rnacentral:lncRNA from 1 species